GGAGAGCCCUGCACGCGGUCUGACAGGCUUCUGCUGAGGAAGACGCAUAUAGAUAUGAUUAUGAUGAAGAUGAUGAUGAUGGUGGUGAUGGUGGUGGUGGGGGAAAAAAGUGAUGGUGGGGAUGGUUUCUGCUGCUCCUUUUCCUCCUUCACUCCUCAGACCUGAUGUGAACAGCACAAAGGAGACAACCCAACCCAGAUGUGAUGGGAACAGCACGGAGAGGUUGUGCCUGCAGAACCAAACUGAGGGAAUAAACUCAACACAGUCAAGCAGAAUCAGGAUGAUCUUCAGGGUGGAC